rnacentral:rRNA from 1 species
AUUGACGUUACCCGCAGAAGAAGCACCGGCUAACUCCGUGCCAGCAGCCGCGGUAAUACGGAGGGUGCAAGCGUUAAUCGGAAUUACUGGGCGUAAAGCGCACGCAGGCGGUCUGUCAAGUCGGAUGCGACGCUAUCCAGCAUAGCUUUAACGCCUGGGUGAAAGAGUUCGGCACGGGUAACAAAGAGCACCAGCAGAUCAUCGAGCAGUGCGAGGCGUUCCUGAAUGCCUACGGUUUCAGUCGUUACCUUCCUU